rnacentral:lncRNA from 1 species
ACUACCCAAGCACCACCAACGCCCAACACCCAAGCACCACCAACGCCCACCACCCAAGCACCACCAACACCCAACACCCAAGCUCCUCCAACACCCACUAGCCAAGCACCACCAACACCCACUAAUACCCCAGCACCUCCAACACCUACUAAUACCCCAGCACCCCCAACACCCACUAAUACCCCAGCACCUCCAACACCUACUACUACACCAGCUCCUCCUACACCUACUACUACCCCAGCUCCUCCUACACCUACUGGUUCUCCUCCUCCGGUUAACACACAAACGCCACCAGCUCAGCCACCGCCAACUGCUUCACCACCUCCUACUGUAACUUCACCUCCUCCAGCUGUAACUUCUCCACCACAAUCUACACCUCCACCGGCACCAGCUACUCCUCCUCCGCCUGCAGUGAGUUCUCCACCACCUCCUGCAGCUCCUUCACCAGCACCUCUUGCUUCAACCCCAGCUCCGGCUCCUGCAAAGAAGUUAACAUCUCCGGCACCAUCUCCUUCGGCAUUGAGUCCUCCCUUACCUCCCACUGGUGCUCCAGCUCUAGCUCCCAGUCUUGGAGCUUUAUCUCCUGCUCCUUCAGCCACUGAUCAGGUAUUUUAUUUUCUUUCUUUUAUCAUUUUGGAUGUAAUCCCUAAAUAGUGCGGAUCGGAUAUGUUGGAUCCGUCUGUCGGCGACGGCUAUACGUUUCAGAAAUUCAACUGUAAGUAAGUAUUUACGUGGAAGAAAAGUAGAUAGGGAACCUAGAUGAAAGUGUGAAUAAUCUAAUACUACCAAUAAAUACACUUCAGUAUUAAUGUAAGAAUAUUAUUUUAUUUUUAGUUUUUAAGUUAUUAGUUUGUGUUUAAAGAGUUUAGUUUUCAGUUUAACAUUUUGUCUCCUGGGUAUAAUUUUAUAUCGCAAUCUCAAUAUUAUCUUAAUACUCCUACUAGAUUAAGCACAUGAGAUAACUUAUAAGGGGAUUCAUUUUAUGGGGAUAAAACACCUAGAGAACACCAAAUAAGAAUUGAUUUUAUCUUUUUAUUUUAUUCGCUUUAAUAACAAGGUUAAAAUUAUAAAGAACAUUAUAUUAUACGUUAAAAUUUUCAUUUAUAAUGCAAUGAACAAAUGAUUAUUUAAUCCUCAAUGUUGCAAUUCCUACAUUAUAAUCACUGCAUAACAUUGUAUUGUAUGCAAAACAAACGAUCCCUUAACAAUUGACUGUUUAAGUAAUUACCCCUCGUUAAGCUUUUAUUCUUGAUUGAGAAGUUCAUAAUCAUCAUUAUAGAUCUUUAUAAUUUGGAUUUCCUAGUUUCCUUUACUUUUAUAAGUUGGCAAUCCUAUUUAAUACUCCCUCCAUUCCCUUUUAAAUUUGUUUUAAAAUGGUAAGUAAUUUUUCAAGAUAUCAAAAGAAACUAAUAUCUUUUUUCCAAUAUUACCCUUGUAUAAUACAUUGAUGAACAAGCUUAUAAGAAGUCUUUCAAGACUUCUUUGUAUAUUUUCCUACGCAUAUAUUAAAAGUCUUUUUAUAAAAUAAUCACUUAUUUAAUACUAUUAAGUGAUUUUCUUAAUGGGUUUGCAAAAGAAUGGAGUAAUUAGUAACUCUUGUAAAGACCAAUUAUUCUAAUAGUCAUUAGUCACUUUUUGAUAUUUGGAUGCAUGUUUAAUUUGCAGAGUGGAGUGGAGGGCCUGAAGUUGUCAACAAUAAUUGUUAAAAUCUUAGUCUUAGGGUGGGGUCUACUCUACUUUGUAAUGUAGAACUCUUUCUUUUUUAUCCUGCAUCAUUUGCCUUUUUCUCUACAUAUAUGAAUUGCCAUCUCUUUAUUUAGGAGGAUAAUGAUGGCUCAUUUCCUUACCUGUACUUUGGAUUAAACAUUCACUUGGUUUUUUUGGAUGUUGUUGUUAAGAGGAGCUAUUUUGUAUUUUGAGGUUUCUUUGGAUGUUGUUGUUGAGGAAAGCUAUUUUGUAUUUUGAGAGGAUUGUUUAUGAAUUGAUCACUUCUAUCGUUUCUAUAUGUUCAUUAAUUCAUCUCUCUCCCCUUUCAAUUUCAAUGCAACAAUCAAACUAGAUUAUUUCGGGUGUUAACCGACAUUACAAAAACAACUGAUUUUAGUUAUGAACUUUGUCG